rnacentral:rRNA from 1 species
GAUGAACGCUAGCUACAGGCUUAACACAUGCAAGUCGAGGGGCAGCAUGAGGUCAGCUUGCUGACUUUGAUGGCGACCGGCGCACGGGUGAGUAACGCGUAUCCAACCUGCCCAUAACUAAGGGAUAAUCCGUAGAAAUGCGGUCUAAUACCUUAUGUUGUCCGAGGAAGACAUCUGAUUCGGACGAAAGAUUUAUCGGUUAUGGAUGGGGAUGCGUCUGAUUAGCUUGUUGGCGGGUAACGGCCCACCAAGGCGACGAUCAGUAGGGGUUCUGAGAGGAAGGUCCCCCACAUUGGAACUGAGACACGGUCCAAACUCCUACGGGAGGCAGCAGUGAGGAAUAUUGGUCAAUGGACGAGAGUCUGAACCAGCCAAGUAGCGUGCAGGAUGACGGCCCUAUGGGUUGUAAACUGCUUUAUACGGGGAUAAAAGGUGUCACGUGUGACAUUUUGCAGGUACCGUAUGAAUAAGGACCGGCUAAUUCCGUGCC